rnacentral:rRNA from 1 species
AGAGUUUGAUCAUGGCUCAGGAUGAACGCCGGCGGUGUGCCUAAUACAUGCAAGUCGUACGCACUGGCCCAACUGAUUGAUGGUGCUUGCACCUGAUUGACGAUGGAUCACCAGUGAGUGGCGGACGGGCGAGUAACACGUAGGUAACCUGCCCCGGAGCGGGGGAUAACAUUUGGAAACAGAUGCUAAUACCGCAUAACAACAAAAGCCGCAUGGUUUUUGUUUGAAAGAUGGCUUUGGCUAUCACUCUGGGAUGGACCUGCGGUGCAUUAGCUAGUUGGUAAGGUAACGGCUUACCAAGGCGAUGAUGCAUAGCCGAGUUGAGAGACUGAUCGGCCACAAUGGAACUGAGACACGGUCCAUACUCCUACGGGAGGCAGCAGUAGGGAAUCUUCCACAAUGGGCGCAAGCCUGAUGGAGCAACACCGCGUGAGUGAAGAAGGGUUUCGGCUCGUAAAGCUCUGUUGUUGGAGAAGAACGUGCGUGAGAGUAACUGUUCACGCAGUGACGGUAUCCAACCAGAAAGUCACGGCUAACUACGUGCCUGCAGCCGCGGUAAUACGUAGGUGGCAAGCGUUAUCCGGAUUUAUUGGGCGUAAAGCGAGCGCAGGCGGUUGCUUAGGUCUGAUGUGAAAGCCUUCGGCUUAACCGAAGAAGUGCAUCGGAAACCGGGCGACUUGAGUGCAGAAGAGGACAGUGGAACUCCAUGUGUAGCGGUGGAAUGCGUAGAUAUAUGGAAGAACACCAGUGGCGAAGGCGGCUGUCUGGUCUGCAACUGACGCUGAGGCUCGAAAGCAUGGGUAGCGAACAGGAUUAGAUACCCUGGUAGUCCAUGCCGUAAACGAUGAGUGCUAGGUGUUGGAGGGUUUCCGCCCUUCAGUGCCGGAGCUAACGCAUUAAGCACUCCGCCUGGGGAGUACGACCGCAAGGUUGAAACUCAAAGGAAUUGACGGGGGCCCGCACAAGCGGUGGAGCAUGUGGUUUAAUUCGAAGCUACGCGAAGAACCUUACCAGGUCUUGACAUCUUGCGCUAACCUUAGAGAUAAGGCGUUCCCUUCGGGGACGCAAUGACAGGUGGUGCAUGGUCGUCGUCAGCUCGUGUCGUGAGAUGUUGGGUUAAGUCCCGCAACGAGCGCAACCCUUGUUACUAGUUGCCAGCAUUGAGUUGGGCACUCUAGUGAGACUGCCGGUGACAAACCGGAGGAAGGUGGGGACGACGUCAGAUCAUCAUGCCCCUUAUGACCUGGGCUACACACGUGCUACAAUGGACGGUACAACGAGUCGCAAACUCGCGAGAGUAAGCUAAUCUCUUAAAGCCGUUCUCAGUUCGGACUGUAGGCUGCAACUCGCCUACACGAAGUCGGAAUCGCUAGUAAUCGCGGAUCAGCAUGCCGCGGUGAAUACGUUCCCGGGCCUUGUACACACCGCCCGUCACACCAUGGGAGUUUGUAACGCCCAAAGUCGGUGGCCUAACCUUUAUGGAGGGAGCCGCCUAAGGCGGGACAGAUGACUGGGGUGAAGUCGUAACAAGGUA